rnacentral:rRNA from 12 species
CACAGCAGCCAUAUUGUCCUGUGAGUACCUGUCAGAUCUUGGAAGCUAAGCAGGGCUGGGCCUGGUUGGAUGGGAGACCACUUUGGAAGAUCAGAAGCUGCUGAUC